GCCCGGGUGGUUCAGUAGGUUAAGCGUCUGACUUCAGCUCAGGUCAUGAUCUCACGGUUUGUGGGUUCGAGUCCCGUGUCGGGCU
rfam:Felis catus isolate Cinnamon breed Abyssinian chromosome D1, whole genome shotgun sequence.